rnacentral:rRNA from 1 species
AGUGAACGCUGGCGGUAGGCCUAACACAUGCAAGUCGAACGGCAGCACAGUAAGAGCUUGCUCUUACGGGUGGCGAGUGGCGGACGGGUGGGGAAUACAUCGGAAUCUACUUUUUCGUGGGGGAUAACGUAGGGAAACUUACGCUAAUACCGCAUACGACCUACGGGUGAAAGCAGGGGAUCUUCGGACCUUGCGCGAUUGAAUGAGCCGAUGUCGGAUUAGCUAGUUGGCGGGGUAAAGGCCCACCAAGGCGACGAUCCGUAGCUGGUCUGAGAGGAUGAUCAGCCACACUGGAACUGAGACACGGUCCAGACUCCUACGGGAGGCAGCAGUGGGGAAUAUUGGACAAUGGGCGCAAGCCUGAUCCAGCCAUACCGCGUGGGUGAAGAAGGCCUUCGGGUUGUAAAGCCCUUUUGCUGGGAAAGAAAAGCAGCAGGUUAAUACCCCGCUGUUCUGACGGUACCCAAAGAAUAAGCACCGGCUAACUUCGUG